GACGAACGCUGGCGGCGUGCUUAACACAUGCAAGUCGAACGGAAAGGCCCCCAUCUUGGUGGGGGUGCUCGAGUGGCGAACGGGUGAGUAACACGUGGGUGAUCUGCCCUGUACUUCGGGAUAAGCUUGGGAAACUGGGUCUAAUACCGGAUAGGACCAUGGUUUAGUGUCUCAUGGUGGAAAGAUUAUUGUUUUGGUGCAGGAUGAGCUCGCGGCCUAUCAGCUUGUUGGUGGGGUAAUGGCCUACCAAGGCGUCGACGGGUAGCCGGCCUGAGAGGGUGGACGGCCACAUUGGGACUCAGAUACCGCCCAGACUCCUCCGGGAGGCAGCAGUGGGGAAUAUUGCACAAUGGGCGCAAGCCUGAUGCAGCGACGCCGCGUGGGGGAUGACGGCCUUCGGGUUGUAAACUCCUUUCGUUAGGGACGAAGCCGCACUUUUUUUGGGUGUGGUGACGGUACCUUUGUUAAGAAGCACCGGCUAACUACGUG
rnacentral:rRNA from 1 species